GGAUGAAGAACGCAGCGAAAUACGAUAAGUAAUGUGAAUUGCAGAAUUCAGUGAAUCAUCGAAUCUUUGAACGCACAUUGCGCCCCUUGGUAUUCCGAGGGGCAUGCCCGUUCGAGCGUCAUUAUACCCCUCAAGCCUAGCUUGGUGUUGGGGCCUGCUGUUACCGGCAGCCCUUAAAAUCAGUGGCGGUGCCAUCUGGCUCUAAGCGUAGUAAUACUUCUCGCUACAGGGUCCCGGUGGAUGCUUGCCAUCAACCCCUAAUUUUCUAUGGUUGACCUCGGAUCGGGUAGGGAUACCCGCUGAACUUAAGCAUAUCAAUAAGCGGAGGA
rnacentral:misc_RNA from 1 species